ACGAUGCCGACCAGCGAUCCGCCGGAGUUGUUUUUUUCCAUGACCCCGCGAGAAGCUUCCGGGAAACCACAAGUCUUUGGGUUCCGGGGGAAGUAUGGUUGCAAAGCUGAAACUUAAAGGAAUUGACGGAAGGGCACCACCAGGAGUGGAGCUUGCGGCUUAAUUUGACUCAACGCUGGAGACCCUACCUGGCCCGGACACCGUCAGGAUUGACAGAUUGAGAGCUCUUUCUCGAUUCGGUGGGUGGUGGUGCAUGGCCGUUCUUAGUUGGUGGAGCGAUUUGUCUGGUUAAUUCCGAUAACGAACGAGACUCUGGCCUGCUAACUAGUCCGUCGAUCUCCUAAGCCGGGGUUUCGGCGGUCGGUGGGGGGAUGUCUCGAGACUGGGGGUCGUGCGGGGUGCCUCUCGGGGUCUUCCCUUAGCCCUCUCCUUGUUCCCGGGCUCUCCCCUCGGCCGUCUUCUCCGGUCGGCGCCGACUUCUUAGAGGGACAAGUGGCGUUCAGCCACGCGAGAUUGAGCAAUAACAGGUCUGUGAUGCCCUUAGAUGUUCAGGGCUGCACGCGUGCUACACUGAAGGAAUCAACGUGUUUCCUCGCCCUGGUCCGGGAGGACCGGGUAACCCGUUGAAACUCCUUCGUGCUAGGGAUUGGGGCUUGCAAUUGUUCCCCAUGAACGAGGAAUUCCCAGUAAGCGCGUGUCAUUACCACGCGCUGAUUACGUCCCUGCCCUUUGUACACACCGCCCGUCGCUACUACCGAUUGAAUGGUUUAGUGAGAUCCUCGGACCGGCCCCGGCACGCCGGAGUCAUCUCCGUGCGAGCCGUGGCUGCCGGGAAGACGAUCGAACUUGAUCAUUUAGAGGAAGUAAAAGUCAGUAAC
rnacentral:rRNA from 1 species